CUAAUCAAAGAUAUUAUCUACACCACUCAUUACCUAAAUGCAUGAAUUAUUUUAUUGACACAAACAUGUCCACAUAAUUGUCCAGAUUCUACAAAUAAUCUAAUAACACAAUAGUAGUAACUCACUGUGACUUAACUGCAUUUCCCCAUUGCUUAAGGGAUGACAAAUGAAUUGACUCUUUAAACAUUGACAACAAUUCAAACUAACAAAAUGUGGAAUCUAUUUUAAACGGGAAUUAGCUGAACCCAAUUAACUGUUUUAAAACCUAAAUCUUAGUUCAAAGAGCAGGAAUCAUUUGGAGUCGGGCAGUCCAUGACAUUUUAAUACAGUCCGGGACAUCUUUUAACAUCAACAAUGCAACUAAUUAAUAGAUAUGUGUAAACUCUAACGGUUUCAACAGUCUAAUUACACACGACAUUAACGAAGGAAAUAUCAAAAUACGAAUCAGUAGAACAGUUAAAUCAUCUUAAGCUUCAAAUCUUCAUGUAUAUUCAGGCUCAGUUUUUCCCGUCUACAAAUUUGCAAAGUUCAAUUGUGUACCUGGCAAUUAGAGCAAUGAGAAGAGGGAAAGGUCAACAACAAUAACAACUACCAAGAUCAGCCCAAGAACAAACUUCAGGAACCCAAUAGGAUUUGGAAACAUGAUUGAAACAAAGAAAAUAACCACAAUACAUUCUAGAUGCAAGAAUCGACCCCAAAGUCUUUAAGAACCAAUAAAAUCACCCAGAAGAAACCCCUAAAGGAGCUGGAAGCCAGUGGAAUUUAUUCCAAAACCAAAUCACAGUGAAUCAGAGACCCUAUUACGAACAUGAAACCACAAGAGAACCCAGCAGCAGCUCACAAGCAAUGGAACAAUAAAUUUUUGUUGUUUUCUUCUUAGUAAAGACCUUUUUUUUUGUAUUUUUCUGUAUUUAAAUGCUAAAAUUAAACUGAAAUUGAAAAUGGAGUGAAAAUCAGAUUUGUUUUUGGUGAGUUUCUUCAGCUGGAAAAUAUAGCCCUUUUCACAAGGCAUUGAAUGCCUUUAUAUAGGCAAGAACUAGGGCAAACCUCAGAUUUUUCCUUUUCUUUUUUACCCCUGCUCAUUUUUCACUUUGGACCUUAAUUUCCUAACUUGUUCUUCAAGUAUUCCCUAAGUUCUAUUGAAAUGUGCACUAAAGCCCUAUUUCAGGAUGUUCUAUACCCCUACAAUUCCUAUACUACCCUUAUUUCAUUUCAGAAUUAACCACUUUUAAUAAACUUGCCAUUUUCCUAUGCCUAAAUUACCCCUAAGCAGUCUGAAAAUUUUAAUCUAGCCCAACUAAACCCAAAUCCUUUAACCCCUGGUUAAUUACUAUGGUUAUCUAACCUCAAUCACCUAUAACCCUAAUUACAUUGCAAAUGAGCACUAAAUUAAUUGAACAAUUGACACUAAACUAAAAUCAAGCUAAAGCCAAACUGAAUCAAGGUAAACUAACGAAAUUUCGACCGCACUGAUAAUUCAAACUAAUUUUAAUUAAGCUAGCAUUUAAUAAUUAAACCAACAAAGGCAAAAAAGAAAUCAAAAUUACACCAGUAAGUACCCAGUAAUAAGGGUGUUAAACGGGCCUGGUCGAUCCGGUGCCGGACCGGCCCGGACCAAUAGAACCCGGAACCGGCCCGGACCGGUAGGGGGCUGGGCUGGGCUGGGUAGGGGGUUAGGGGGUUAGGGCUGGGCCCGGACAAAGUAUUAAUAUAACUUAAUAGUUAUACUAUACAUAAUUAUAAAAAAAAAAGAUAAAAAUAUACUAAACCCGCCCGGCCCGGCCCCUCAACCCGUAACCCGUAUGUGUCAAUUUUAAUCCGAACUAACCCAGCCCGCUACAAACCCGUUACUAUGCAACCCGGCCCGGCCCGGAACCCGGAAGGGCCAAAAAAAAUUGACCCGGACCGGACCGGUUGGUCCGUUUGACAGGUUUACCUAGUAAUGUGUAAAUUAUUUUCUUCAUACUAAUUUAAAUCGUCAAAUUAAACCAACGGACAAACUUGCAAAAGAAAAUUUAAUCCUAAGAAAACGAUCCUAAAUGAAGAAUUGCAGUCAAAUGAAAAGAAAUAAACAAAAAUUAAAGAUCAUAGAACUUACUAUUUUCAAAAUCCUUGUCUAAGCGUCUAAAUUGAUUUUCAAUUAAUGUUAUUUAUCUAUUUUGUCAAAAAUAGAUACAUAACAUUAAGCAAAAAUCAAUUGACUCUGAGUGUCUCAGAACAGACCCGCCUUCAUAAACCCUAGAUUUGAAUUUCGUCAAGCUUCAGUUAUAUUCGAGAGGUUUUGACCAAAGAAUCGAGGUGACGAAAGGCCGGAGACUAUCUGGUAUAAAUUUGAACCGGUUUGGAUGAGUUUGUAUUCUGAUCGAGGUUCUUCCAAUUAAGUUUCGACCAACUGAGUUAUGAUUCGAAGAAAACGGUUAGUAUGAUUGUAAAGAGGAGAUUGAGGAGAGCCAACGGUGUUUGUGGGGUGGAGUUUGGCCACCGGCGCCGUCAUUAUCGGUGAAGAAAUUUCAGGCGGCUAGUUUAGCGUUUUUGAAGAAAGGGGUGUGAACGAUGGGAAUGGGGGGUAGGGGGUUUGUGUUCGGACAUACUUAUACAGAACAUCCUAGGACGUUAACCACCGUUGGAUUAAGAUUGAACGGAUGGGAUUCAAAUACAGAACGACGUCGUUUUGGGUUGCAAAAGGGACUGGACCGGGUAAAAGAAAGACUGGGCUGGAUUGGGCCUGGGUGGGACUUUGAUUAGGGAACACUAGGCCUAAAUUAAAUGACAGCUCAAUUUCAAGGCAAACUUUUUUUAUCUUUUUCCUUUUAUCUAUUUUUCUUUUGUAUUUC
rnacentral:lncRNA from 1 species